AAUUCUGUUUAAUUGGUUAUUACUAACCGACUUAAAUAAAAGAGUGAGCUAUUAUUACUGUAAAUGUAUAAUGUCUCUAGUCUGGUCAAAGGGUCAGAGUGUCCUAAUUAAUUAAACGAUAAAUUGUUGAAAUUAGAUAACUUGUUUUCACGUGCAGAGAAAUUUCUUUUAUGACCAAUGCAUGACCGGAUAUCAUCUUUCUUAUUGGUCAAUGGCAUUGCGGGUCAGCACGAGUUCACGUGUAAGUGCAUUGUGAUCACUUCCUUUUAUCAUCAGCAUUUGAUGUGUUAACUUGUGAUUAUUAUCAAACAAUUUGUUCAAAAUUAUAUGUGAUUUUGUUUUUUAUUUUAUGGAUAAUUUUGGACUGGAGUGAUUUCAUUUUAGCUAUUUCAGAGCGCUAAGAAUGGCAUUCAUCUACGAAAGAACUUUCCCCAUUUAAGGACGUGUGCAAUAAAGCGUGAUAUCAACAACUUCCAUAUACUUUCUUUUGACAGCGGUAUGCCAUAAGUCCGAUAAUACGAACAUACGAAUAUUGAUGGGUUGCUGUUUCACUGACAUUAAGGACACAUACCUAAUUUCGUAAUUAGAAUUUUGAUCCAGAAGUGCGAGUCGUAUCAACAUUGACUAACCAAAGCCUAAUUGACUGUUUUAUAAAUACAAAUUUACUAAAUACGACUUCGAUCAGCAGUUUGAUACACAACUGGACCCUAGUUACGAUGAAAGCUCAAAGCACCUAAUGUUAUUCCAUCAUCUCUUUAAAGUUGACUAUGUCGUUAAUUGUCCAUGACUCUCGUUACUUGAAUACAGCACUUAGUUUUAGAGGAAGGAAAAUAAAACAAACAAAGACUUCUGCCGCAGUUCAUGGAUGGAAUAGUCCUAAUAGUAUCCGUGAUUCAAGGAUUGAAGUCAAAUACGUUUAUAGAAUUUAACAGCUAAAAAGAAUAAAUUUAGUAUCAGAACUUUAUACUUCAGCUGUUGCGGGUCAGUAUUACUUAGUACCUGACAAAACAUUAUGAUCUUUAUUUCAAACCAUCACAACUGUCUUGUUUUGGGUCAGCAUUGCCUGCCAAAACGUUUAUUAUCUUUAUUUCCAACCAUCACAACUGUCUUGUUUUGGGUCAGCAUUGCCUGCCAAAACGUUUAUUAUCUUUAUUUCAUAUAAUUACAACUGUCUGGUUUUGGGUCAGCAUUGCUUGCCAAAACAUUUUAUGAUUUUUAUUUCUUAUAAUUACAUCUGCCUUGUUUUGGGCCAGCAUUGCCUGCCAAAACGUUUAUUAUCUUUAUUUCAUAUAAUUACAAAUGUCUUGUUUUGGGUCAGCAUUGCUUGCCAAAACAUUUUAUGAUUUUUAUUUCUUAUAAUUACAACUGUCUUGUUUUGGGCCAGCAUUGCCUGCCAAAACGUUUUA